UACGUAGGUGACAAGCGUUGUCCGGAUUUACUGGGCGUAAAGAGCGCGCAGGCGGUCGUUCAAGUCGAGUGUGAAAGCCCCCGGCUCAACUGGGGAGGGUCACUCGAUACUGAUCGACUCGAAGGCAGGAGAGGGAAGUGGAAUUCCCGGUGUAGUGGUGAAAUGCGUAGAUAUCGGGAGGAACACCAGUGGCGAAGGCGACUUCCUGGCCUGUUCUUGACGCUGAGGCGCGAAAGCUAGGGGAGCAAACAGGG
rnacentral:rRNA from 1 species